rnacentral:rRNA from 1 species
GAUGAACGCUGGCGGCGUGCUUAACACAUGCAAGUCGAACGAACCUUCGGGGUUAGUGGCGGACGGGUGAGUAACGCGUGAGAAUCUGCCCUCAGGAGGGGGAUAACGGCUGGAAACGGCCGCUAAUACCCCAUAUGCCGAGAGGUGAAAUGAAUUUCGCCUGAGGAUGAGCUCGCGUCUGAUUAGCUUGUUGGUGGGGUAAUGGCCUACCAAGGCGACGAUCAGUAGCUGGUCUGAGAGGAUGAUCAGCCACACUGGGACUGAGACACGGCCCAGACUCCUACGGGAGGCAGCAGUGGGGAAUUUUCCGCAAUGGGCGAAAGCCUGACGGAGCAACGCCGCGUGAGGGAUGAAGGCCUCUGGGCUGUAAACCUCUUUUAUCAAGGAAGAAGAUCUGACGGUACUUGAUGAAUAAGCCACGGCUAAUUCCGUG